CUAACUUUGAUGUUGGUUUGAGAAAGCCAUGCAGUCUAUCAGACAGAAGGAGGUGUUCUGCAUGGUUGCUAAGAGUUUGACAUCAGCCUCUCAAAGCUUUUCAUUGCAAUGGGGGUUAAUGCCACAGUAAGACAACUGUACAAUUUCUUUGUGAUUAGUUGCACUUUAUUAUUUGCAUUUAUCAUUGUUUUCCCUGAUAUCAGUGACCCAUCAGAACAGACCUGAGAACCAUCUGAGAACCACUGCUGUAGGGAUCAUGAAUGAGAUGAAAAAGCACACAUCAUGUCAAGCUCAUAUCAUAAGAGUGUGAUGUGAGGAUGAGAUGGAUCCAGCACGUUUGCUAUAAUGAUGUUUGUUCCUCUUUGUCAGGGCGUUUGCUUUGACCUGGAUAUUCCCCAGACUUUACGGCUGGAGUUGGCCAAAGCCAACACCAAGAUGGUCAAGAACAACUAGUAGGAAUGCUAAACCCUUCGGCAUCCAGACAGAGUCCUGCACCUCUGUGUCAGUCGAGAGCCCUAUGAGUUGAGUGUUCCUGCGCUGUACACCAGCAGUCCUGAGGUGUGGGCUUCAUACCUGCUGUACCCCGCUGAGCUGCCUCCACCAGCAUACGCCUUCAGCUCCUCGCUGCACGCUCAGAAAUGGAGAAGCAGAUGAUCUGCCUCCAGUGUUUGUGUCAGAUUCGCUGGCUGCCGACCGUUCUGUUGACGUCUGUAUACAGAUGCCUGAAACCAGAAACAAGAAGUGAGAGACUGUUAUCUCUGAUCUCAGGCUGCUGUGAACCACAGAACACAAGAACAGACCUCUCUCUCCUGGACGUCCCUUCUUACAUUGUGUGUCAACUUUAUUAUAGUUAAUAUAUGUAUGAACUAUGAUCAUUUAUAAUGUUAUUCUUAUUGGUUCAAUCAAUAAUUACUGUAAGUUCUAACGGGGUUGAUGCAUGAUGCCUUGCCAAAAAGAUUGCAAUAUUUACACAUUUUUAGAUAUCAUAUUGCAUAUUCUCUUUUUUAUCAUUAUUAUUAUUCUUAAGGAGCAAAAUAAGUAUUUUUAUAAUGAAUUAAAUGAAAUGUUUUUGGUGCCAUUUUAGUGUAAUUUCUAUAUGUUGUUUCUUAUAUGUACAAUAAUGUUUUUGAUGUUUUAUUGAGCUUUCAUUAAUCUGCUUAAAUCAUUAAAAACACAUUGUGAGACCUGUUUGAAAACAGGCUGAGAGACUCGUUUAAUGUUUAAAUAUAGUUAGAGAAACUUUGUCCCCCUCAGAUGUACUAAUAAGCAGUGUUUCUGCAGGCCGGAGAACAUGCUGCUGGAUAUAAACCAGUGCUCUGCUGGAGUUCUGGCAAAUGUUGUGGUUACAAGCUUUUCCACUUUCAGCCUUAAAAAACCUUAUUAUAUUUGUGCUAGUCUGUGUCUAAUUGUGUCCUCUGGAAUCAAAACAUUCAUG
rnacentral:lncRNA from 1 species